CAUUAUUAAAGUGAAUCACUAUAA
rnacentral:snRNA from 1 species